AUCUGGUCAAAAUCUUCACGCCGCGUGAGAGAAAAGGCAAGUGUCGGUCCACCGCUGCUUGGCUGAGGGGAAUCGAUUUGGAGGAGGUCAUCAGGGCUUCAGUGGUCGACGACGGCGCCCCCGGCGGCCCUCUACGGUGUGGCCAACGACCGCCUCCCAGUGACCCCGACCAUUCAGCUGAAUUGGCAACAACAAGGUGCCGCGGUGGGCUGCACUAAUGAUGGUUCUUUUCAAAAAUCAUGGUAUUUGUCUACUGAUAUGACAACUCUGAUGAUUACUAUUGCGCCGUAGGCACCUCUCAUCCUCUACACUCAACAGGAGCCAUGGAUCUCAUGAAUGACCUCUAGGAUGUCAUAGCAACAUGUCUUUGAACAGGAUGGAUAGAUCAAAUGGGAUGGUCUGAAGGUGUAGUUCAAGUGUAUCUGUAUUUUCCUCUAAAAGAUGUCAAGGAAUAUUGAUUUUUAUUAUUAUCUGUAUUUGGUUAUGAGCUCUCAGUGAGGAACAUGGGGAAUGCUUAUGAAAGCUACAAUUUUAACCAAGUA